AUCGCUUCUCGGCCUUUUGGCUAAGAUCAAGUGUAGAAAAAAAAUUACUAAAAUAAAUGUGUGUUUUUUUAACUGCAGUACUUACUCUGUUUUUUGUUUUUUGCAAAAAUUAUGCCUGAGGCUAAUACAC
ensembl:snRNA U2 U2 spliceosomal RNA